ensembl:lncRNA
GUUUCUGGUGUCUCCCCCUAACCCCAACACAACCAAACCCCCACCCCCCACCCCGACCCCACCGAAGCCGUCGAUCACUCUUCCUUGUCGCUUGUUGAUAGCAUGUACUGGUUAGAGCUGUUCCUGUUGUGCCGUCCAUCCAAGCCCGAGCCCUCUCUAUAGCCCCUGCACUGUGUACAUUUAAUCUGCAAGGUUAACUGCUAAUUGCUUUUUUUUUUUUUUUGGUGUUAAUAAUGAUGAUGAUGAUGAAGAUGAUGAUCAUUAUGAUGAUAAUAAUAAUGAUGUUAAUUAAGUAUUUGAACUCAAUAUGAUGGUAAUUACAUGUGAGAAAAAAAAUAUUAUAAUAAUCCCAGAGCCAUGUGUGCGAAAAUAUUUUGUACUUUGCUCUGAAAAAAAAAAAAAUUAAUAAUAAUUAUAAGGUUUUUUUUUUUUUUUUUCAAAGUGUUGUGCUCUAUUUUGCCAUGAGAACCUUUUUAAAAAAAAAAACAAAAAAAAAACAAGGUGAUGAGCUGGAGUGCAGCAAAACACUGCUUUGAAUUAGCCCCGACUUUGUUAUGCUAGCAUGCCACGAUGCUAGACUAAUUUAACCAGAUAUUUGACAAACGUAGGGUUUUGCUGUGCAUCCGCACACUCACAAAGAGAGCAAUCAAUGAAAUGUACUAUAAUUUGUACCGUGUGUGUAUUCAACCGUUUCUUUUUAAGGCUCUGUACUGUAUCGAAUGUAUGCUAACCUUUAUGCUGUCCCACCGUUUUUUGCUGUAACAUUGUCAGCCAUCUUGCCGUCACAACCAAAAACUCUCGGCAUAUUCGAAAUCCCGUGUGCUCGCCCCCUUCGUACGUUACUUCCUUCCUCCAGCCGCUUUCGAGAGGGAGCCAAAUUAGUGGGGAAUAGAGACGUAAUUAGCGAGCGGAUCGCUAAGCGAGGGCGCCGUCGCUCUUCUCCUCAUCCCUCCAUCUGCUGAGGAGCAGAGCUCAUAAAUCUAGCUCAAUCCAGGCACUGACAGGGACCCUCUUCAAGGACGACAGUGUCUUGGUGGUGACUAAUUAACCACCACUUAAAGGCGCGUAGAGAAGACGCUGCGACCAUGUGCUCGGCGGCGCAUGGCUUAACAGUGAGCGCUGGUUUCCGCAUCGCGUAUGCCGUAUGCAAGCUCUUACAUUCAUGGACAAAAAGCACGGUUAGGAGCCGAUCAUUCAGUCACGUAAGUGCUGUAUAUAGCAUGUUUUGACAUCGUUGUGUCCCCAUAGCUAAUUUUGUCAAAUCCAGCAAUAACCAAACUAAAACGUAAAUGUAAAGAAGUAUCUAAUUGGCGUAAUCUGUUACGUGUUGACCGGAGUGCCAUGCUAAUCUAAUCCUGAAAGUGUUGUGUGAUAAAUUAAUGUCAUGUGUGUGAUGGAAGGAGCUCUGGAAGCAGAGUUUAAAGGUUGACCCGGCCUACAUGCUUCUCCAUACCCGUUCCAUCUCUCUCUCUCUCUUCCUCUCUCUCUCUCUCUCUCUAUCUACCUAUCCAUCUAUCUAUAUGGAUCUAUCUAUGGUGUACAAAUCCGUACUGUAUAGCCACAAUUGCAACACACACUUGCAUGUUUUUGAGAUCCCAUCCAAAAAUUUUCUCAUUUGGGUUCAAUUUGAAGCACAAAACCGGUCCCAGUGCUAAUUUUUCUCUGUAUCUGUCUGUCCUUGUCCCUCUUUACUUGUUCACGACUGCGCCCGUGUAAAGCUCAAUGAUCCAUGGCAAACCUAUCUGUGCUCAUGUUUUCUCCUGAACAAUAAGUAAACAAACAAACAAACAAAAAAAAAAGAUAUGUCAUGUUUCUCAAUGUGGGUUAUAAAAAAAAAAAAAAAGCAUGUCAGUGUUUUGUUAUGGGUGGAUUUUCCUUUUAAGAAAAAAAAAAAGUAUGAAUAUGAAAAGUGUGUGUGUGUGUGUGUGUGUGUGUGUGUGUGUGGGAAAGGUUGGCUUUAAAAUAUGGAAGAUUGAAGUGUGAUUUGAUAUGAGCUCCCCUGUAGAGAUGAGUGAUUGUGGGUUACCUGGAGGUCUGGUUUGGGAGGUGAAGAGAGGCAUGUGAGGCAGGAAGGGUGAGAUGGGCCAGCGCUGACCAGACACUGAACUCCCUCUGUAUGCAUGCGAUUAACUGGAAGGCAGCAGCUACAUAUCAGCUUGUGGAUCCAUUUUUUAUAAAGGCAGAUUGCGUCUAUUGAUUUUCCUGCCGCUUCGCUCUGCUGCUUAUGUCCACACAUUUAAAAUGCGCUUCAAUUCUAAUGUCCUACUAGUGUCCAAUAAUACUGAUGGAUACUACAUGCGUUAGUAAGAGGCUUCUAAUUCAUCCACAAACGCUGCAAUUAUUUUUCUUUAGCCACAUGGACGCUCACAACAUAUCCAUGAGCUUCCUCAUGUCCAAUCAGGAGGCACUUGACCGUACAGGUGUCCAAUCAGGAGGUGUCUGGAUUUACACGCGUUCAAACAGGAGGCACUUGAGGUUGCACGUGUCCAAUCAAGAGGCACACAAGUGUCCAAUCUUGUCCCACUUUGCCUUAUAUGUGGCCAAUCAAGAGGUAAGUGCGUGCGCUUACAUCAGUCCAAUCAGGAGGAACCUGAGCUUGUACCCAUCCAAUCAGAAGGCACCUGAACAUUCCCUGCAGGACUUUGAAGAAAUGAUAUGUGUCUUAAUUUCUUUGUAGGAUAGUAAAAUAGCUCUGCUGUCACGAUUUUACAUUUCAAUUUAUUGAUUUAACAGCCAUCUUUUCCCAGAGUGGCUUUUUGCACAGACCGAACCAGUUCGUGGAAUGAAACCAAAAUCAGAAACGAAUUAAUGGUAAUUUGCUACGAACAAAAACGCAAAUAUAAACGUAAUCGUCCUUGUUCGGAAGCAUUCGUUUGAAUCUGUUACCAGUUAAUAACUAAAUAAAAAUGAAUUAUUUAAAAUAGUUUAGCCUUAUACGACAACAUUUUUCUACAUCUAUCUACUAUUUUAUCAUAUUAAACCUACAUACCGCCUCUAAAAAAUGAUAGGAAUGGACCAUUUUGUUCUCUGUUGGUUGUAAUGUUAGGGACGUUAUGCGGGGGUUAGAGGACAAUAAGGAAAAGGUUCUAAUACGUUUUUUUUUUUUUAAAAGUUCUGCUCAAUGUAGUUUAGUGUUUCAUGACGCUUUAAGGUAUAAAUCUGAACAACUGAAGGUUAAGAGUAUUGCGUAAGGAUUUAAUGGUGCCUUGCUGAUAGUAAUGGGAAUUCGAACUGACAUCCUUCUGAUCACAGAUACAGCAGUUUAACCCUUACUGAACUGAGUAGAUUCAUUUUAUGUGAAUGCUUUAAACCAAACCUUUAAAUUUGUUUUUAACCAAAUAUAAGGCAUAAUGCUAAUUUAAUUCUAGAUAGAUAGAUAGAUAGAUAGAUAGAUAGAUAGAUAGAUAGAUAGAUAGACAGGCAGAUAGAUAGAUAUAUAGAUAGAUAGAUGGAUAGAUAGAUAGAUAGAUAGAUAGAUAGAUAGAUAGAUAGAUAGAUAGAUAGACAGACAGAUAGAUAGAUAGAUAGAUAGAUAGAUAGAUAGAUAGAUAGAUAGGUAGAUAGAUAGAUAGAUAGAUAGAUAGACAGACAGAUAGAUAGAUAGAUCGAUAGAUAGAUAGAUAGAUAGAUAGAUAGAUAGAUAGAUAGAUAGAUAGAUAGAUAGAUAGAAUUAUUACGAAUGAGGUGUUAGGUGUUUUUUUUUUAAUGACUCAAUAAUAUAUAAGUUUCACUUUAAGGAGUUUGUAUGAAAAUCUCAUUUUAUCCGAUCAUCUUAUCAUAAUCUAUGGUCAUUUUGUUGCAUUUUGUAACAUUUGUAAAGUAAUAUUCAGAGGACACUAUAGAAAAUGGCAUAUUUUAAUGGUUUAAAUUCAAUAACUGAACAACAAGACAAUUAUUCAUUUGAGACGUAAUUAGUAAUACUUUGAGAAAUGUCAGCGCUUAUGGAUACUGUGUAUCUUGAAGUAAAGAUGAGAUCUCUGUGAGUUAGAAUUGGACACAACAAAAUAAACAUAAGGGUUUGUUUAUUUGUGUUUUUUGUUGGGGUUUUUUUUUUUUUUUUUUUUAGAAAUAGCAUAAUUCAGUAUCUUUUCAUAGAUAAGAACAGUUAUUGUCACAGACAGAUAAUGCAGAUAGAACAAAGAGAAAAGAUUCUUCUGAAAGAUAAAGAAAUAAAUAAACAAGGAAAGAUUGCUUUGAGAAAUAGAAUAAGGGAAUGGAUGGAUGGAUGGAUAGAUAGACGGACAGACGGACGGACAAACAGACAGACAGACAGACAGACAGACAGACAGAUAGAUAGAUAGAUAGAUAGAUAGAUAGAUAGAUAGAUAGAUAGAUAUCUGCACGAUAUCUAGACGGACAGACAAACAGACAGACAGACAGAUAGAUAGAUAGAUAGAUAGAUAGAUAGAUAGAUAGAUAGAUAGAUAGAUAGAUAGAUAGAUCAUAUUAAAGUAAUAGUUUGGUCAAAAAUGAAAUUUACACAUUAACACAGAUGGAUUCAUUCAGCCGAGACAGUAGGGUAACAAGCUGCAACCUGUUCUUCAGUGAUGUCACACAGACUUAUCCAUGUGGGUUAGGACACAGACGACUGUUAUAAGCUAUACCAGACUUCAUCAACUGGUAGAAUGUCCAGAUACAGCUCCAGCAAAGUAUUUCUGUGGAUCAAACUGAGAACUCCAAAAAAUACUGUAGCAGAGCCAAUCAGUGUACGGAAAAUAACUGGCUAUAGCUCAGUGAAAAACAAUGUUGUGUUGAGGCUUGUUGCAGCCAAUCACAUGCAUUUAUGUAAAUUACUUAGUCGAAGGCUGUUACAAAACAAAACAACAUUUAAAGACGAGAAGAGAAGCAUGCAUUUAUUCUUUUCUCCAAAGUUCAAAACAGACAUCUCAGCUACGGUAUUAGUCAGAUGUGGCGCUAGUCAAAUGUGGAAACGUGAACUGCCAGUAUGAAACAAAACAUAACCCCUCUGAUGUGUUUUGAUUAUAACUAUGAAUUAAUCCUGAAUAAUUAAUCAUUAAAAGGUCACUUUUAUCACCAUUCAGUCAUGUUACUCGUGCGUAAGCAAGGAAAGAAUAAACAAAACUUCACUGUUUACCCAAACACUGUAACAUUACUGUAUGAGAGAUUAAACGUAACAGCAUUAAUGCAUGGAAAGACUUCACGAUGAUACAUUGACACACAGGGUAUACAUAGACAUACUAACGAAGGGCUAACACAAAAUAGGUGAUCACACUUGGGUAACAAACUAAUGAUGGGGCAGGGGGUGGAGUCAGGAAUGGAAUAGAAACCAUCGACAAACAUGAGCACAAGGCAUUUAUGGCAUGGAAUGGAAGCUGUUACAGGUGCUUCUUGGGUCGUAUCUCCGGAAGAUGGAAUUUUACCAGAAAGCUGGGGCAAUUAGUAUGCAGACGACACAUUAGUUAGAGUUUGAAUUUUAACGUACAAACACAAGCGCCGGUAUUUCUGCUACUUUACAAACUUGAAUAUCUUGGCAUCUGUUUUGGAAAAGGAUGUUGGAGGAAAGACUUCCAUCACUUGUAAACAACAUCACCUGUAUAAUUAUUGUAGCUGCACGAAGUAAAGAAGCAAAACGCUGGACGUCAAACACGCCUCGGGUGAAUCAGGGUGUGGGUACAAAUGUGUAAAUUUCAUUUUAUGCUAAACUAUCAAUCUCCAUUUGAUGUUUAAUUAUCCUGCAAAUUAUGAAGCGUUUGUGUGCAUAAGGUUUUGACGCAACAGGUGCUGCUUGUCAGUCGUGUACAGCUGUAUUGAUAGCACGCCGCUGAUUAUCUGAGCAUAAUUCAGUAGGUGUAUUAAAACGAGACGUUCGUAGCCGAGGCCGUGUGUUUUCCUCAAAGCAGGAGGCGUAAGAAGCAACUCCGCUGUGCACAAACAAGCCCGGUACUCUUGGGUAUCGGCGGAGAUUGUCGUACACCCACUGGAAGCUGAAAUUUCUGUCAGUCAAAUGGGUGAACACAAGCUGUGGCAUAGCACUUUGGUAGUGUUUGGAUUGAAAGCGCUUGAUGUAACGUCACAGGUUAAUGGUGACGAGGUCGGUCAGUGAUUCGAGCCUAUCUCCCUCUCUCUGUGCACUUUGCCUCUUCCUCUUCUCCUCCACGCCUCGUCCUCCUCUUCUCCUCUGGAAAUCAGAUGUAAUGCCAUGAGCACCUCCAGCUCUCCAUUCCGGUCCUUCUGUCGUAUUAAUGUGUGUGUUUGGACGUGUGUGUGUGUGUGCAUAUAAUGUACAUGCAUGUGAGGGCGUGUGUUCUCUGACCUUGAUUGAUCAUGACCUACUUCACAUUCCAGUUCCCCAGACAAUUCAGUGUUUUCUCUGCAACAUCAACGGGAAAAAAAGAUGGAAAAUCCAGAGCAUUGUCUUCCACCUUCGACGAAUCCUGUGCCGUGUUCCAAAUCAUGUUUUAGAUUUUGUCUGUGUUUUGUCAUUUUAUUGUGUCUGGAUUUAUUUUUUUGUUUGUUUUUUUUUUUUUCUUUCUCCAAAGUCCAUAAAGGAGAGAACAAAGUGAAGGAAUUAAACAGAAGGGGAGAAAAUAAAACCGAAUAUUGUUUUUAACAUAAUCUGAUGCUUGCCUCGUUGUUUUCCCGUACGCUCGUCUGUCAUGGUUAUUCGUAGACAGGAAGAGAGACGCUUAGGUAAGAUUCUGAUGCGUCCGAGAACGUUUCACACUUGCUGACGGUGGUUGUUUUGCUUUGACAAAGAAGUGCAUCACGUGUACAGACUGAGUGGAGUACAGACAUUGGCAAGGACAGUUCAGAUCACAUACAAACUUGCCUUCACAAACCCAUAUUUAAAAAAAAAAAAUUUUUUUAAGUCAUAGAUUUAUUCAUUUAGAAGGCUGAGCACAAGCCAGGAGUUGAGGGUCUUCUCAGUUAAAAAUUCGGACUUUUCUGAACAUUAUGGAAUAUUUGGUUUCUAGAAACUCCUAAGGACUCUUCGGUUGUCCAACUAUGGAAAACACAUUUUCCUAUCAACGGGUUCCAAGCAGAGCCUUUUGUUUCCUUAAAGAUUCAAGUAUGCUGGGUGGUCUGAGAAUCCAUCCAAUCCAUC